GGAGAGGUGGCUCAGUGGUUAAGAGCCCUGGCUGCUCUUCCAGAGGUCCUGAGUUCAAUUCUCAGCAACCACA
rnacentral:tRNA from 1 species